GGGUGCUUAGCUCAGCGGUAGAGCGUCUCGUUUACACCGAGAAUGUCGGGAGUUCAAUCCUCUCAGCACCCACCA
rnacentral:tRNA from 2 species